rnacentral:rRNA from 2 species
AAAACGGAGAGUUUGAUCCUGGCUCAGGAUGAACGCUGGCGGUAUGCUUAACACAUGCAAGUCGAACGGUGUCUUCGGACACAGUGGCGGACGGGUGAGUAACGCGUGAGAAUCUAGCUUCAGGUCAGGGACAACCACUGGAAACGGUGGCUAAUACCGGAUGUGCCGAAAGGUGAAAGGCUUGCUGCC